GACAGUGCGCUUACGAGUGAGUUUGCGGAAGCAGAUGACGAAGAGGAGGAGGAAAGAGAAAGCAGCAGUGGAGGCGGCGGCUAGGGGAGGGAUUAGGCUGGAAGAGCGUUGGUGGUAGGGGAGAGGAGAAGGUUGGGGUGGAAGGAAAGGAGGGGCCGGGCGUGAUGGCAUGGUUGCGGUGAUCAGAAAAGGACUAGAAAGAUUUGGUGACGAAGAAGAAGGAAAGUUUUGUCAUUGGAAGAUAAUGGGAAGCCUUUCCUGGCUUCUGGUUUCUUUCUAUCUGCUCCAUAGAUUUUGUUUUCGUUUCUUUGAUCUUCUCUGUUCACUUUGGAGAUUGGGUGCACGAGCGUGUGGGCGCU